AACCUGGGCAUUAGCUGUCCACUGUGUUCUAAAACCCCCGACACACCAACCACACGGCUGACCCUCGGCAGAAAAGGCAGUUGGACUUAUCAGUCUCCCCAAGUUGGUCAAAAAAGUGACUCGGAACACACCAAAGCGACGAGACUUAAUACAUCUCCAUAACAGCAGGCGGCGCUAAUCUGUAUUGUCGGCCAAAAAUGAAAACCGGCAGCUGAUUGGAUGAGCGCGUAAUGUUGGUCUGAUUUCUCCGGAAAUUCAAAGCCAGACUGUCAUGGCGGCUUGUUCAGAAUAC